UACGGGGGGAGCAAGCGUUGUUCGGAUUUACUGGGCGUAAAGGGCGCGUAGGCGGCCACCGCAAGUCAAUUGUGAAAUCUCCGGGCUUAACUCGGAAAGGUCAACUGAUACUGCGGGGCUAGAGUGCGGAAGGGGCAACUGGAAUUCUCGGUGUAGCGGUGAAAUGCGUAGAUAUCGAGAGGAACACCUGCGGCGAAGGCGGGUUGCUGGGCCGACACUGACGCUGAGGCGCGAAAGCCAGGGGAGCAAACGGG
rnacentral:rRNA from 1 species